rnacentral:lncRNA from 1 species
CAAUACAUAACUUUUGCUCUCUCUAUAUUCCAUACGUUUUCUCCCAAAGUCGAAUCCUUUUUUACGUAAGUGGCUCACGUCUAAAGCAUGUUUCAUACUCAAAUACUUAUAUCAUCCACUGACUUUAGCGCGCCUAAGCGAGCAAGCAUACGCAUAGCAGCACAUAACGCGCCAAAAGGCCCAUUCCCCCUUUUUGGAAUUAGAAAAAGAAGAAAUGGAAGGCCUUCAGGAAGUCGUCAAAGAAGACAAAUCAGAAUUCUCUCCCAGGGUCUAUAAUUGCCUCAAAAGGUCCAAUAUAUAUACAUUAUUGGACCUUUUGAAUAACAGUCCGGAAGAUCUCAUGAAAAUUGAACAUUUGCGCCUAGAAGAUAUAAAACAGAUAUUGGUCAUUCUAGAAAAACAUUUCGCAAUUGAACCCAUUUUGGUUUCGUCCAAUCAUUAAUAACUUGAUUCUUUUUAGAUAAUAGUAGAUAGAAACAACGCUUGUAAGGAGUCCUAUUAAAACCAAGGAAUAUAGGCCUGCCUGCCAUCCACACCAGAAUAAAUAGUUAGUCGGGUCGAAGCUCAGUAGCUACAAGCGGUAGUUCUCCCCCCUAGCCCCCAAGGGGGUAAGCUACAGGAAAGGAACCGAUCCCUUACUCCAACCGUCACUAUGCACGCGACUGUCUCCUUCACUAUCAGAAUAGGCCACAUGUGACUAACGGUUUAUCCUAAUGUGUAGGAGCAAGCUUACGUGGACAUGAGGGGCCUUGGGAUAUGUUGGCUAUAUCCCCCUACAAAAAAUAUAGUCAACAAAAUAUUAUUAUGUUUCACAUAUUAAUAACUCCUAAUAUGUUUGUGAUUUGAUUUUGGAAGAAGACUUUAAGGAAUUCAAUUUCUAUUGAACUUUCCUCAUUGGCUUUUCCAUCAAAUCAAAUAUAUUUAUUAAGCAUGUGACAAAGAUCAAAUCUUUCCUUUAAAAUCUCAAUAUAUCAACCCACUAUGUCCCAAUUCAACAAAACUUUAUGAAAUUUUAAGUUUGUGGUUUCAUAAAAUGUGUAGUUAAAAAGUGAAUAAGAAUUGUGAGUUCAAUGAAAU